UUAAACAUGCUGUGAUAAAAUUUCUCAUUUUCUCGUCCGAUCACCGAAGUAAUGUCGGGCCCGGUCAGUACUUGAGAGGGUGACCAUCUGGGAACACCGGGUGUAGCUGUAGGCU